UAAUAGGAUUUAGUUAUUUUUUAUAUUUAUUCUAUGAAAAAAAGAUUUUUUUUAACUCGAUCCUUUCGUACUAGAGUAAAAGUUUGUAAUUGAGGAUAGAAACUGACCUGGCUCACGCCGGUCUGAACUCAGAUCAUGUAGAAUUUUAAUGGUCGAACAGACCAACCCUUAAAGACUUCUGCAUCUUUAGGAUAUUCUAGUCCAACAUCGAGGUCACAACCCCCUCUUUCGAUUAGGUCUCUCAAGAGAGAUUAUGCUGUUAUCCCUGCGGUAACUAAUUUUUUUAAUCAGCUUUGGCUGGAUCAAAACAUAUAAGUUAAAGAAAAUAAGGAAGCUUUUUUUGUUCCUUGGUCGCCCCAACCAAAAAAGAAUAAUAGAAUUUUAUUUGAGAUCAUAUAUAGACUUCUAAUUUACUUUUUAAGCUCGACAGGGUCUUCUUGUCCUUCAAUGGGAUUCAGGCCUCUUCACCUGAAGGUUAAAUUCUAGAAAAUAAAAAGGAGACAGUGUUGCUCUCGUCAGACCAUUCAUACUAGCCUUCAAUUAUAAGGCAAAUGAUUAUGCUACCUUUGCACGGUCAGAGUACCGCGGCCGUUGAAAAUUUUCACUGGGCAGGUUCGACUCCUUAUUUUUUUACUUCAAAGAGCGAUGUUUUUGAUAAACAGGCGGAGCGACUAAUUUUGCCGAGUUCCUUCUUUUUAAUUUUUGUGUUUAUAUAUGUAUUGUUUUUAGGGGCAUCGUUUUAGGUUUAGUGCCAGGAAAUACAAAAAUAAUACUCAUCCUAACAUUAGCUAAAAAAUAUUUUGGUUUUGUUUUUUGUCCUUAUUUCUCCAGGGAGAAAGUAUAUAAAUAUUUAUUGUAAAAAAAAUACUCUAUAACGAGUUUCUCAUUAAUGGCUGAUUUCAGGCCUAUAACUUAAUUUAGACAAUACUUUACGUCGCUGUGUAAGUUUCUUAGCUUAUCCUAAAAAACUUGAAAAUUAAUAAAGAAAUUCUGGAAUAAAGUUUCCAAAAAUUUUCUAAUUAACUUUAUACUUCUAUAUAUUUUUAAGGAAACUAGCUAUCGCUGGUGCGAAUAACAUGUUAUUUCUAUUUUUUUCUCUAGUUAAAAUUUUGCUACAUUUUUAACUAAAAAACUAUCAUUUUGGAAAAAAAUAGCUCACCAGCUUUCUAGAAUUUAAAUAUUUAGUUUUCUCUAGUUAGGCCGUGAUGCGAAAAGUACGUAUAAAAACUAAUUUUGAUCUAAUAAAAAGUUUCCCUUGCGGUACUUUUGUGGUUUUAAGCAAUAUUCUUUCUCUAUUACUAAGCUAAAUAAUGUUUUAAAAAUAAAGGUUAAUAAAGAUUAAAGAGCAUUUUAUUAG
rnacentral:rRNA from 1 species